ACUCCUACGGGAGGCAGCAGUAAGGAAUAUUGCGCAAUGGGCGAAAGCCUGACGCAGCGACGCCGCGUGGGGGAUGAAGGUCUUCGGAUUGUAAACCCCUUUCGGGAGGGAAGAUGGAGCGAGCAAUCGUUCGGACGGUACCUCCAGAAGCAGCCACGGCUAACUUCGUGCCAGCAGCCGCGGUAAUACGAAGGUGGCAAGCGUUGUUCGGAUUUACUGGGCGUACAGGGAGCGUAGGCGGUUCGGUAAGCCCUCUGUGAAAUCUCCAGGCUUAACCUGGAACAGUCGGAGGGGACUGCCGGGCUAGAGGACGGGAGAGGAGCGCGGAAUUCCCG
rnacentral:rRNA from 1 species